rnacentral:rRNA from 1 species
UACGUAGGUGGCAAGCGUUGUCCGGAUUUAUUGGGCGUAAAGCGAGCGCAGGCGGUUUCUUAAGUCUGAUGUGAAAGCCUUCGGCUCAACCGAAGAAGUGCAUCGGAAACUGGGAAACUUGAGUGCGGAAGAGGACAGUGGAACUCCAUGUGUAGCGGUGAAAUGCGUAGAUAUAUGGAAGAACACCAGUGGCGAAGGCGGCUGUCUGGUCUGUAACUGACGCUGAGGCUCGAAAGCAUGGGUAGCAAACAGG